GAUGAACGCUGGCGGCGUGCCUAAUACAUGCAAGUCGAGCGAACGGACGAGAAGCUUGCUUCUCUGAUGUUAGCGGCGGACGGGUGAGUAACACGUGGAUAACCUACCUAUAAGACUGGGAUAACUUCGGGAAACCGGAGCUAAUACCGGAUAAUAUUUUGAACCUCAUGGUUCAAAAGUGAAAGACGGUCUUGCUGUCACUUAUAGAUGGAUCCGCGCUGCAUUAGCUAGUUGGUAAGGUAACGGCUUACCAAGGCAACGAUGCAUAGCCGACCUGAGAGGGUGAUCGGCCACACUGGAACUGAGACACGGUCCAGACUCCUACGGGAGGCAGCAGUAGGGAAUCUUCCGCAAUGGGCGAAAGCCUGACGGAGCAACGCCGCGUGAGUGAUGAAGGUCUUCGGAUCGUAAAACUCUGUUAUUAGGGAAGAACAUAUGUGUAAGUAACUGUGCACACCUUGACGGUACCUAAUCAGAAAGCCACGGCUAACUACGUG
rnacentral:rRNA from 1 species